rnacentral:rRNA from 1 species
GACGAACGCUGGCGGCGUGCUUAACACAUGCAAGUCGAACGGAAAGGCCCUGCUUUUGUGGGGUGCUCGAGUGGCGAACGGGUGAGUAACACGUGAGUAACCUGCCCUUGACUUUGGGAUAACUUCAGGAAACUGGGGCUAAUACCGGAUAGGAGCUCCUGCUGCCUGGUGGGGGUUGGAAAGUUUCGGCGGUUGGGGAUGGACUCGCGGCUUAUCAGCUUGUUGGUGGGGUAGUGGCUUACCAAGGCUUUGACGGGUAGCCGGCCUGAGAGGGUGACCGGCCACAUUGGGACUGAGAUACGGCCCAGACUCCUACGGGAGGCAGCAGUGGGGAAGAUUGCACAAUGGGCGGAAGCCUGAUGCAGCAACGCCGCGUGCGGGAUGACGGCCUUCGGGUUGUAAACCGCUUUCGCCUGUGACGAAGCGUGAGUGACGGUAAUGGGUAAAGAAGCACCGGCUAACUACGUG